rnacentral:rRNA from 1 species
AUUGAACGCUGGCGGCAGGCUUAACACAUGCAAGUCGAGCGGAGAGAGGUAGCUUGCUGCUGAUCUUAGCGGCGGACGGGUGAGUAAUGCUUAGGAAUCUGCCUAUUAGUGGGGGACAACAUUUCGAAAGGAAUGCUAAUACCGCAUACGUCCUACGGGAGAAAGCAGGGGAUCUUCGGACCUUGCGCUAAUAGAUGAGCCUAAGUCGGAUUAGCUAGUUGGUGGGGUAAAGGCCUACCAAGGCGACGAUCUGUAGCGGGUCUGAGAGGAUGAUCCGCCACACUGGGACUGAGACACGGCCCAGACUCCUACGGGAGGCAGCAGUGGGGAAUAUUGGACAAUGGGCGCAAGCCUGAUCCAGCCAUGCCGCGUGUGUGAGGAAGGCCUUAUGGUUGUAAAGCACUUUAAGCGAGGAGGAGGCUACUUUAGAUAAUACCUAGAGAUAGUGGACGUUACUCGCAGAAUAAGCACCGGCUAACUCUGUGCCAGCCGCCGCCGUAA